rnacentral:rRNA from 1 species
AUGAUUGGUGAUACUAAGUUACGCGAAUGCACAGGCAUGUGCAUCAAAAGCUCAUGUCCCAAUGCUACAAGUUUCCUUACAUCGAUAAAUUUGAUUCCACUUACUUGGCAUGCAAGCAAGAUCACUAAACAUUUGACGAUUAAAUUACGCCUUCCAAAUGAUCAGAUUGUCACUGGGUGGAUAGCUGAUCCUGAGAUAUAUGUUGAUUUUUUCAUCAUCAACGUCGCUGGUGUUAAUGCCCCACAUGUAAGUCUUGAUCAUGAGAUGCAGUUUGAGCCUUAUAGGAAGGUAGCAGCUGUAUGUCGCAAUUUCAAUUCAGGACUAUUAACGGACACAAGCGGAGUAGAUCUUGCCUCUCCAAGCGCUCGAACUGAUGAGACAAUGUUCAGCACAUGCCUGAUCCACAAGGUGUCGGUUGGAGGUCCCCUUGUUGAUUUUGAUGGCAACUUCAUUGGGAUGAACUGCUCUUGUACCAAAGAAAGAAAGACCCGCUAUUGUUAA